rnacentral:lncRNA from 1 species
GUCAUAGAAGGGUGGAGUCCAUGUAAAUAAGGUUCGGUCUCGCUUCCUUAGUGGUCCUUAGAACAAAAGUCUUGUUAACCAAUCAAAAUGUUCUAUUUCACACUAACCAGUAAAUAUGUAAAGUGUAGUUUCACCUGUUUUGUUGAUUUUAACUUUUACUGGUUGACUUGUAUACGUAGAGAUCUGAAGCGCCAGCUAAGGGAAAGUUAAAUUUUAUUUUUGCAUCGUAUUACUCCGCUAUACCACUUGUGGAAGUCUGAUUUUGAUUUUUGCAACCAAACCUCAGCCCACUUAAAUAUUUAUUUUUACCUUUUGCGCCUCCUGUCUUAACGCAGUGAGGAAGACACCUCGGGACUCAGCACUGUCUCUUGCCCUUUUUUAUCAGUUGAAACGCCAGGAAACUACCGGGUGUUUGACAUCCAGCCUAGACCUAGAACUGCUGUCGAUCUGAAAACCCAGAUCCCAGAUCCCCCCAGUUAUAAUACCGGCCUUCUACUGUCAAUUUCUGUAUUCAAACUUGUGCUAACAUUUUUAACUAGCAGCUUGAAAGGCGUUCCAAAAAAAUAAAGCAAAAACUGCGUAGAGCAGACUAUCCUCUUGCAGUUUUCCCACGUAAGCAGCAAGCUUAGCCCUCUGGACUUCAGAAAUCACGUCAGCACUUGGCCAUGACGACCUAGAUUUUGCCUGAUGCUCCCUCUGGCGUCUGUCGGCUUUAAUUCUGUAACCUCACCAACACAUACAAGAUUACUUGAUCCCCUUUACCCUUAACACCUGUGCAUAACGAGCCCACCGACAUGGCUGAGAGGUGGUACAACUGCUCCUUUUGAAAAGGUGAGUGGCUCUGAAAAGAGCCUUUAAGAUAGUCUACGUAAAAAAAAAAUGCCUUAAGCCCGCUCCCCGCGGAUGCGGCGGGCCAGCUGGAUGUCUUUGGGCAUGAUGGUCACGCGCUUGGCGUGGAUGGCACACAGGUUCGUGUCUUCAAACAGCCCCACCAGGUAGGCCUCGCUCGCCUCCUGCAGCGCCAUCACGGCCGAGCUCUGGAAGCGCAGUUCCGUCUUGAAGUCCUGCGCGAUCUCGCGCACCAGGCGCUGGAAGGGCAGCUUGCUAAUCAGCAGCUCGGUCGACUUCUGGUAGCGCCGGAUCUCCCGCAGGGCCACGGUGCCCGGCCGGUAGCGGUAGGCCUCGCUCGCCUCCUGCAGCGCCAUCACGGCCGAGCUCUGGAAGCGCAGGUCCGUCUUGAAGUCCUGCGCGAUCUCGCGCACCAGGCGCUGGAAGGGCAGCUUGCGGAUCAGCAGCUCGGUCGACUUCUGGUAGCGCCGGAUCUCCCGCAGGGCCACGGUGCCCGGCCGGUAGCGGUGGGGCUUCUUCACGCCGCCGGUGGCCGGCGCGCUCUUGCGGGCCGCCUUGGUGGCCAGCUGCUUCCGCGGGGCCUUGCCCCCGGUCGAUUUGCGGGCAGUCUGCUUAGUACGGGCCAUGGCGGCGAGCCAAAACACGAGCUUACCAGCGCAGCGAAGGGAGAGUAACCAGGGGGACGCCCGCCGCAGCAGUCUUUAUAG